rnacentral:rRNA from 1 species
CCUACGGGGGCAGCAGUGGGGAAUAUUGGACAAUGGGCGAAAGCCUGAUCCAGCCAUGCCGCGUGUGUGAAGAAGGCCUUCGGGUUGUAAAGCACUUUCAGUGGGGAAGAAAGCCUUGGGGCUAAUACCCUCGAGGAAGGACAUCACCCACAGAAGAAGCACCGGCUAACUCCGUGCCAGCAGCCGCGGUAAUACGGAGGGUGCGAGCGUUAAUCGGAAUUACUGGGCGUAAAGCGCGCGUAGGCGGUCUGAUAAGCCGGUUGUGAAAGCCCCGGGCUCAACCUGGGAACGGCAUCCGGAACUGUCAGGCUAGAGUGCAGGAGAGGGAGGUAGAAUUCCCGGUGUAGCGGUGAAAUGCGUAGAGAUCGGGAGGAAUACCAGUGGCGAAGGCGGCCUUCUGGACUGACACUGACGCUGAGGUGCGAAAGCGUGGGUAGCAAACAGGAUUAGAUACCCGUGUAGUC